rnacentral:rRNA from 1 species
GAUGAACGCUGGCGGCGUGCCUAAUACAUGCAAGUCGAGCGAACAGACGAGGAGCUUGCUCCUCUGACGUUAGCGGCGGACGGGUGAGUAACACGUGGAUAACCUACCUAUAAGACUGGGAUAACUUCGGGAAACCGGAGCUAAUACCGGAUAAUAUAUUGAACCGCAUGGUUCAAUAGUGAAAGACGGUUUUGCUGUCACUUAUAGAUGGAUCCGCGCCGCAUUAGCUAGUUGGUAAGGUAACGGCUUACCAAGGCAACGAUGCGUAGCCGACCUGAGAGGGUGAUCGGCCACACUGGAACUGAGACACGGUCCAGACUCCUACGGGAGGCAGCAGUAGGGAAUCUUCCGCAAUGGGCGAAAGCCUGACGGAGCAACGCCGCGUGAGUGAUGAAGGUCUUCGGAUCGUAAAACUCUGUUAUUAGGGAAGAACAAAUGUGUAAGUAACUAUGCACGUCUUGACGGUACCUAACCAGAAAGCCACGGCUAACUACGCG